rnacentral:lncRNA from 1 species
AAAACUGAUUUAAUUUAGUAAGCUUUAAAAAGACACAAGCAUGUAUAACGAGCAUUCUUUCCAAAUAAACAUUUUAAACAUAUAUGUAUACAGUAUCAGGAUUCCUGAAUUACAAGCAACAGAGGCUGAUUCUGACUCCAGAAAAAAAGGGGGCAGAUGUUAGGUGUUAAUAGCUCACAGGUGGUUUUGGUCAACUGAGCAUUCCAUAGGCCAGGAAGGAGGAUGGCAUUAGGGAUUCUAGCAGCAAGAGUUCAAAACCAUCUCUCCAGGAGACUGCCAGCUGGAUUCCAGUCACUUCCCCAGGGAAGGGGAGUUUCCUUAGUGUAAGAGUGUGUGUGUGUGUGUAAAGAGGUACCCGCUCCUAUGAGGCUGGGCAUACAAACCAGCAGUGUAUCUACUCUAGAAUACCUACAAAGCUGAGUUUUGAAUUAUCAUUACAUAAAACAUAUAUAUUUCUAUAAAAUCUACCUUUCUAUUAUUAGUGCU